rnacentral:rRNA from 1 species
GAUGAACGCUAGCGGCAGGCUUAACACAUGCAAGUCGAGGGGCAACACGGGUAGCAAUACCUGGUGGCGACCGGCGCAAGGGUGCGUAACGCGUGAGCAACAUGCCCUAUACAGGGGGAUAAUCCAGGGAAACUUGGUCUAAUAUCCCAUAGUAUUUAGAGGUGGCAUCACCACUAAAUUAAAGCUUCGGUGGUAUAGGAUUGGCUCGCGUGACAUUAGCUGGAUGGUGGGGUAACGGCUCACCAUGGCGAUGAUGUCUAGGGGUUCUGAGAGGAAGACCCCCCACACUGGGACUGAGACACGGCCCAGACUCCUACGGGAGGCAGCAGUGAGGAAUAUUGGACAAUGGAUGGAAAUCUGAUCCAGCCAUGCCGCGUGCAGGAAGACGGCCCUAGUGGGUUGUAAACUGCUUUUAUAUGGGAGCAAUAAGGUUUACGCGUAGACCGAUGAGGUACAUAUGAAUAAGCAUCGGACUAACUCCGUGCC